rnacentral:lncRNA from 1 species
AGCGGGUCCCAGCUGACGGAAGCUGACAAGUUUAUUUAAUCCCUGAACCUGGAUCCAAGGCAUCUCCCUGUAGAAAACAUCAGACCGGGGCAGAGAUUGACAAAGCAACCCAAAGCAGCAGCUGCCAACGGCCGCUGUGCCCACCUCAUCAGCAGCUAAAGAGUAUAAUUUUAAAAAAAGUCACAGAAGAAUGUGGAGACACUUAGCAAAACGGACUCUCAUAAGCAUUAUUUGGCCAUAUGAUUAAACUCCAG